UUGCUCAACUGGUAGAGCGAGGCUUUAACGCUGCUAGGGGUGAAGGUUCGAUUCCCACCCACGCCA